GAGUUUGAUCUUGGCUCAGAUUGAACGCUGGCGGCAUGCCUUACACAUGCAAGUCGAACGGCAGCACGGGAGCUUGCUCCUGGUGGCGAGUGGCAAACGGGUGAGUAAUGCAUCGGAACGUAUCCUGGAGUGGGGGAUAACGUAGCGAAAGUUACGCUAAUACCGCAUAUUCUGUGAGCAGGAAAGCGGGGGACCUUCGGGCCUCGCGCUCUUGGAGCGGCCGAUGUCGGAUUAGCUAGUUGGUGAGGUAAAGGCUCACCAAGGCGACGAUCCGUAGCAGGUCUGAGAGGAUGAUCUGCCACACUGGAACUGAGACACGGUCCAGACUCCUACGGGAGGCAGCAGUGGGGAAUUUUGGACAAUGGGGGCAACCCUGGUCCAGCCAUGCCGCGUGAGUGAAGAAGGCC
rnacentral:rRNA from 1 species